AUUGAACGCUGGCGGCAUGCUUUACACAUGCAAGUCGAACGGCAGCACAGGGAGCUUGCUCCCGGGUGGCGAGUGGCGCACGGGUGAGUAAUACAUCGGAACGUGUCCUGUUGUGGGGGAUAACUGCUCGAAAGGGUGGCUAAUACCGCAUGAGACCUGAGGGUGAAAGCGGGGGAUCGCAAGACCUCGCGCAAUUGGAGCGGCCGAUGCCCGAUUAGCUAGUUGGUGAGGUAAAGGCUCACCAAGGCGACGAUCGGUAGCUGGUCUGAGAGGACGACCAGCCACACUGGGACUGAGACACGGCCCAGACUCCUACGGGAGGCAGCAGUGGGGAAUUUUGGACAAUGGGGGGCAACCCUGAUCCAGCCAUGCCGCGUGCAGGAUGAAGGCCUUCGGGUUGUAAACUGCUUUGUCAGGGACGAAAAGGAAUCGUGAUAAUACCAUGGUCUGCUGACGGUACCUGAAGAAUAAGCACCGG
rnacentral:rRNA from 1 species